AAUAUUGGACAAUGGGGGCAACCCUGAUCCAGCCAUGCCGCGUGUGUGAAGAAGGCCUUUUGGUUGUAAAGCACUUUAAGCAGUGAAGAAGACCAUAUGGUUAAUACCCAUAUGCGAUGACAUAGCUGCAGAAUAGACCG
rnacentral:rRNA from 1 species